AGAGAAAGACAAAAAAAGUUUUAUCGAAGUAUGGUUACUUACUGAUUUCUCAUUCACAAAGAACACUUUAUAUAAGGAAAUAAGUAUAGGUUAAGUAAGCGGUUCGAUUCCGAUAAUUUCACAAAUUUAUUAGACCUAUGUUUAAUAAAAUAAAGUUCAUUGAUGUAUUGUAAGUAAGAAGAAAUACCUGUAUAG
rnacentral:misc_RNA from 1 species